rnacentral:snRNA from 1 species
UUCUGAUUACGAAUGAGCAG